rnacentral:rRNA from 1 species
AAGUCGAACGAAGUAGCAAUACUUAGUGGCAGACGGGUGAGUAACAUGUGGGUAUCUUCCCUUUGGCCUGGAAUAACACGAGGAAACUUGUGCUAAUACUGGAUAAGUCUUUACGGAGAAAGCUUUAUGCACCAUUGGAUGAGCCCGCACUUGAUUAGUUUGUUGGUGGGGUAAUGGCCUACCAAGACAAUUAUCAAUAGCUGAUUUGAGAGGAUGAUCAGCCACAUUGGGACUGAGACACGGCCCAAACUCCUACGGGAGGCAGCAGUGGGGAAUCUUGCACAAUGGAGGAAACUCUGAUGCAGCGAUGCCGCGUGAGUGAAGAAGGCCCUUGGGUUGUAAAGCUCUUUCGUCGGGGAAGAAAAUGACUGUACCCGAAUAAGAAGGUCCGGCUAACUUCGUGCCAGCAGCCGCGGUAAUACGAAGGGACCUAGCGUAGUUCGGAAUUACUGGGCUGAAAGAGUUCGUAGGUGGUUAAAAAAGUUGGUAGUGAAAUCCCAGAGCUUAACUCUGGAACUGCUAUCAAAACUUUUUAGCUAGAGUAUGAUAGAGGAAAGCAGAAUUUCUAGUGUAGAGGUGAAAUUCGUAGAUAUUAGAAAGAAUACCAAUUGCGAAGGCAGCUUUCUGGAUCAUUACUGACACUGAGGAACGAAAGCAUGGGUAGCGAAGAGGAUUAGAUACCCUCGUAGUCCAUGCCGUAAACGAUGUGUGUUAGACGUUGGAAAUUGAUUUUCAGUGUCGCAGCGAAAGCGAUAAACACACCGCCUGGGGAGUACGGCCGCAAGGUUAAAACUCAAAUGAAUUGACGGGGACCCGCACAAGUAGUGGAGCAUGUGGUUUAAUUCGAAGAUACGCGCAGAACCUUACCAACACUUGACAUGUUCGUCGCGACUCUAAGAGAUUAGAGUUUUCGGUUCGGCCGGACGAAACACAGGUGCUGCAUGGCUGUCGUCAGCUCGUGUCGUGAGAUAUUGGGUUAAGUCCCGCAACGAGCGCAACCCUUACUUUUAGUUGCCAUCAUUUAGUUGGGCA